GACGAACGCUGGCGGCGUGCUUAACACAUGCAAGUCGAACGGAAAGGCCCUGCUUUUGUGGGGUGCUCGAGUGGCGAACGGGUGAGUAACACGUGAGUAACCUGCCCUUGACUUUGGGAUAACUUCAGGAAACUGGGGCUAAUACCGGAUAGGAGCUCCUGCUGCAUGGUGGGGGUUGGAAAGUUUCGGCGGUUGGGGAUGGACUCGCGGCUUAUCAGCUUGUUGGUGGGGUAGUGGCUUACCAAGGCUUUGACGGGUAGCCGGCCUGAGAGGGUGACCGGCCACAUUGGGACUGAGAUACGGCCCAGACUCGUACGGGAGGCAGCAGUGGGGAAUAUUGCACAAUGGGCGGAAGCCUGAUGCAGCAACGCCGCGUGCGGGAUGACGGCCUUCGGGUUGUAAACCGCUUUCGCCUGUGACGAAGCGUGAGUGACGGUAAUGGGUCAAGAAGCACCGGCUAACUACGUG
rnacentral:rRNA from 1 species